UACGUAGGGUGCAAGCGUUGUCCGGAAUUAUUGGGCGUAAAGAGCUCGUAGGCGGUCUGUCGCGUCGGCUGUGAAAACUUGGGGCUCAACCCCAAGCCUGCAGUCGAUACGGGCAGACUAGAGUGUGGUAGGGGAGACUGGAAUUCCUGGUGUAGCGGUGAAAUGCGCAGAUAUCAGGAGGAACACCGGUGGCGAAGGCGGUUCUCUGGGCCUUACCUGACGCUGAGGAGCGAAAGCAUGGGGAGCAAACAGG
rnacentral:rRNA from 1 species